rnacentral:rRNA from 1 species
UGGGGAAUAUUGGACAAUGGGCGCAAGCCUGAUCCAGCCAUGCCGCGUGUGUGAAGAAGGCCUUCGGGUUGUAAAGCACUUUUGUACGGGAAGAAAAGCACUCGGUUAAUACCCGGGUGUCAUGACGGUACCGUAAGAAUAAGCACCGGCUAACUUCGUGCCAGCAGCCGCGGUAAUACGAAGGGUGCAAGCGUUACUCGGAAUUACUGGGCGUAAAGCGUGCGUAGGUGGUUUGUUAAGUCUGAUGUGAAAGCCCUGGGCUCAACCUGGGAAUUGCAUUGGAUACUGGCAGUCUAGAGUGCGGUAGAGGGUAGCGGAAUUCCCGGUGUAGCAGUGAAAUGCGUAGAUAUCGGGAGGAACAUCCGUGGCGAAGGCGGCUACCUGGACCAGCACUGACACUGAGGCACGAAAGCGUGGGGAGCAAACAGGAUUAGAUACCCUGGUAGUCCACGCCCUAAACGAUGCGAACUGGAUGUUGGGGGC